GCGGCGGUGGCGGAAUAGGCAGACGCCGAGGACUUAAAAUCCUCUGCCAGCAAUGGCGUGAGAGUUCAAGUCUCUCCCGCCGCA
rnacentral:tRNA from 2 species